CAGCCGCCGCGGGAAAACGGAGGGUGCAAGCGUUAAUCGGAAUUACUGGGCGUAAAGCGUGCGUAGGUGGUUGUUUAAGUCUGCUGUGAAAGCCCUGGGCUCAACCUGGGAAUUGCAGUGGAUACUGGGCAACUAGAGUAAGGUAGAGGAUAGUGGAAUUUCCGGUGUAGCAGUGAAAUGCGUAGAGAUCGGAAGGAACAUCUGUGGCGAAGGCGACUAUCUGGGCCAUUACUGACACUGAGGCACGAAAGCGUGGGGAGCAAACAGGAUUAGAGACCCCCGUAGUCCCUGUCUCUUAUAC
rnacentral:rRNA from 1 species